UUCUAUUAUUUACCUUUCAUUCUGUUCUUCCUUCCUCUCUCGUUCUCGUCUCUAAAUCUCUGCUUCUCUCUCGUUCUCUUCCCCCUUACUACUAUCAGAAACAUCGUUAUCAUCAACUUCAUAAAUCCCUAAAUCCUUUUCCCUAUUUUCUUUCAAAACCCUAGAAAUCUCUUUCUGUUUGAAGAUCCACCAAACCCAAAACCUAAUGGUCGUCGUUCAAAAAGAAGAAGAUAGAAAACAUCUUGGAACUAGGGGUCAAUACAAAGGGGUUUGUUUGUUUAUUUGAUAUAUGUUGAUUGUGUAAAUGAAAUUUCAAUAAAUAGGUCAAGAUAAGAUUAGGGUUUUGAAGUUCUAAUUGAAUUUGAUUUGUUAAAGGCAGAGAUGGGGUUCUAGGUCUGCUGUAAAGAGCUGGAUAUCACUCUGCUUGGUACAGGAACUUGCAGGCUAAAUGAUUGCAGGGAAUGAGCUAUGUAAGAUUACAAACAAGCAGCAAACUGAUUGAUCCUUCACUACAAACAACAUUGACAUUUGAGGGGUAAUCGCUAUUACAGUCGAAGAUGAUAUUGUAAAAUUUUCUGAUUACAAAGCUUCGUCAACGGCAUCCAGUGGAGGGGCGAAAAUUUCACCUGAACCUUCUCCACCAAAAAAGAGGCGGAGCCCGUGAGCUCGCCUGAGCUAACAAUUUCAGUGGCUGCUGAACCUCCUCAAUCAGAAGGUCACAGUUUUGCUAUCUCUCUUGCAAAAAAACUGGCUGAAGACUGAAGAGAACAACGUUAGUCUUUCUUUUCAAUUGUUACAACAAAACUCUUAUUACUCAAUAUCAAACAAACUCAUUAUGGGUUUCUCGUGUCCUGAGCAUUUGGCAUAUUUCCUUGCUUUCUUAUGCAACCACUUUUGUUGGAAUAUUGACGCUUUCUAUUUAUUUGAAUGUACUUCACAAUAGGUGCCUAUUCAAGUGUUAAAGGCACAGGUCUUGAUGGCAGUAUUGUGAAGGAUGAUAUUGAUGACUACUUGGGUAUAGUUUUUUCAAUGUUGUUUCCUGUGUAUUGGUCAUUUUCUUGGUAGGGUUCCUUUUGAGUAUCAAUGAAUACAUUUCACCUAAUGAUGUAGCUAGCAAGGCAUCAGCCCCCAAGGAUAAAGCCACAACACAGGCAUCUAAUUUGGAUCACACCGAACUUCCACACACUCAAAUAACAAAAGUAAAGUUUUUCUUUUGUAUGCCUAAACGUUAAGUGGGACAGAGUUGUAGCUGAUAUAUCUACUUUUGCAGAUCACAGCUUCACAUCUGCUACAAUCAAAACAAACUAUUCCUCAUUAUUAUUUGACUGUUGAUUCUUGUGUCGACAAACUAAUAGAGUGAGUAUCAGUUGUGAAAAACAAAGUUUUAUGUUUCUUCUGUUCUUGUGAUGUGGGUCCUCCUUAGGUAUGGUUAUUUUUCUGAAAGAUUGAGAAGCCAACUUAAUUCCGUCCAAGAAGAUUCUGGUGGGAAACAGAUCUCAGUUAAUGAUCUUGUAGUGAAGGCUGCUGCUUUGGCUCUUCGCAAAGUUCCUCAAUGUAACAGUUCCUGUACAAAUGAUUAUAUCUGCCAGUACAAAACCAUCGUCUGAUGGAUCUGGGAGGAGAAUAAGAGAAGUUGCAUGUCCUACUUGCACCGUCCAUUUGCGGUGCUCGACGAUGAAUGAAGAAGAAAUUUUCGAGUUUCAAGACAAACUCUUCCUUUUCCCCCUUGGGUGGAUUCAUGCACAUCCUUCACAGACUUGCUUUAUAUCUUCAGUUGAUCUUCAUACACAUUAUUCAUACCAGAUUUUGAGCAGCUUCAUUGGGCGUGCGACAUCUAACACACUGCUCUUGCUGGUUCCUCCAGUUGAAAUGCCUCACAACCCAUGGUGACAAUUUAAACUUCAAGCACCGGGCAUACCUCAUGCGGCAGAGAAUGUUCACCUGGUUAGCCGGUUCCAGCAGACGAAUGUGAGAGUUCUUAUUUCUUUAGAUCAUUUUGUAAGAACCUUAGUGUGAUACUGAAUGUUUAUAAAUAUAUCCACGUGAUAUGAUUUUUGUGAUGUGCUUCAUACUUUUUGGUGUAUAUGGACUGCAUCAU